rnacentral:rRNA from 1 species
GUGAGUAACGCGUGGAUCAUCUGCCUUUUGGUGUCGGAAUAAUCCCCGGGAAACUGGGGCUAAUACCGAAUGGUUCCUACGGGAUAAAGAUUUAUCGCCAAAAGAUGAGUCCGCGUCCGAUUAGCUAGUUGGUGGGGUAACGGCCCACCAAGGCAACGAUCGGUAGCUGGUCUGAGUGGACGAUCAGCCACACUGGGACUGAGACACGGCCCAGACUCCAUACGGGAGGCAGCAGUGGGGAAUAUUGGACAAUGGGGGCAACCCUGAUCCAGCCAUGCCGCGUGAGUGAUGAAGGCCUUCGGGUUGUAAAGCUCUUUUGGCGGGGACGAUGAUGACGGUACCCGCAGAAUAAGCCCCGGCUAACUUCGUGCCAGCCGCCGCGG